UACAGAGGUGGCAAGCGUUGUUCGGAAUUACUGGGCGUAAAGGGCGCGUAGGCGGCCUUCUAAGUCAGACGUGAAAUCCCCCGGCUUAACCUGGGAACUGCGUCUGAUACUGGGAGGCUUGAGUAUGGGAGAGGGAUGUAGAAUUCCAGGUGUAGCGGUGAAAUGCGUAGAUAUUGGGAAGAACACCGGUGGCGAAGGCGGCGACCUGGUCCGAUACUGACGCUGAGGCGCGAAAGCGUGGGGAGCAAACAGG
rnacentral:rRNA from 1 species